rnacentral:rRNA from 1 species
AUUGAACGCUGGCGGCAGGCCUAACACAUGCAAGUCGAACGAGUGGCGGACGGGUGAGUAAUGUCUGGGAAACUGCCUGCUGGAGGGGGAUAACUACUGGAAACGGUAGCUAAUACCGCAUACCAUCGGAUGUGCCCAGAUGUGAUUGGCUUGUUGGUGGGGUAACGGCUCACCCAGGCGACGAUCCCUAGCUGGUCUGAGAGGAUGACCAGCCACACGGUAACUGAGCAACGGUCCAGACGCCUACGGGAGGCAGCAGGGGGGAAUAGUGCACAAUGGUCGCAAGCCGUAUGCGGCCAUGCCGCGUGUCUUAAGAAGGCCUUCGGGUUGUAAAGGACUUUCAGCGGGGAGGCGUUACCCGCAGAAUAAGCACCGGCUAACUCCGUGCCAGCAGCCGCGGUAAUAC